rnacentral:tRNA from 1 species
GCCGGGUUAGCUCAGUUGGUUAGAGCAUGGUGCUAAUAACGCCAAGGUCACAGGUUCAAUCCCUGCUCACUACA